rnacentral:lncRNA from 10 species
CCAGUUUUCAUAUAAAGAAACCAAGCACAGAGGAAUUAAACAAAUCGUCCAAAGCCAAAGAGCUCAUGAGUGACUAAGCUAGGGUUGGUGCAACUCCAGAAGCCAUGCUCUUAACCACAAUGCAUGACUGUAUCUCCACAAACUAAAAACCUCAGUAAAUUGGUGACUACACAUGUAAAAUAUAAGAUAGCAUAACACCCCUUUCUUUCAAAGCUGAACACAG